GGGGAUGACCCGGUUUCGACGUGGGUUACAAAGCAGCGCAGGGCAUACCGAGGCUCAGAUUACCUCGUAAAUACAGCUGAAACAAGUAUAGUCGCAAACGACGAAACUUACUCUCUAGCCGCUUAAGACCGGUUGGACGCUGCACCAGCUCUCCCGUGGGUUGGAUUGAGGCAACUCAUACGCAGUGUCAUACACACGGGAUACGUUUUACGUUGGGUUACUUAGCGUAGAAUUAACCUUAAGGUAGCUCGUCUGCACACCGCUUGUCUGUUGGUGUGGUGUAGAUUAAAUUAAACAACAAGGCUAAGUAUGUAGAACUGUCUGUGGAGGAUUUGCGGACGGGGGUUCGAUUCCCCCCAUCUCCACCA
rfam:Proteobacteria bacterium ST_bin12 274, whole genome shotgun sequence.